rnacentral:rRNA from 1 species
UACGUAGGGUGCGAGCGUUGUCCGGAAUUAUUGGGCGUAAAGGGCUCGUAGGCGGUUUGUCGCGUCGGGAGUGAAAACACCGGGCUUAACUCGGUGCUUGCUUUCGAUACGGGCAGACUUGAGGCAUGCAGGGGAGAACGGAAUUCCUGGUGUAGCGGUGAAAUGCGCAGAUAUCAGGAGGGACACCGGUGGCGAAGGCGGUUCUCUGGGCAUGUUCUGACGCUGAGGAGCGAAAGUGUGGGGAGCGAACAGG